UACAUGGGGUGCAAACGUUGCUCGGAAUCAUUGGGCGUAAAGCGCGCGUAGGCGGUUACUUAAGUCGGAUGUGAAAGCCCUCGGCUUAACUGAGGAAGUGCAUCCGAAACUGAGUAGCUAGAGUACGAGAGAGGGUCGCGGAAUUCCCGGUGUAGAGGUGAAAUUCGUAGAUAUCGGGAGGAACACCGGUGGCGAAGGCGGCGACCUGGGUCGAGACUGACGCUGAGGCGCGAAAGCGUGGGGAGCAAACAGG
rnacentral:rRNA from 1 species